UACAGAGGGGGCGAGCGUUGUUCGGAAUUACUGGGCGUAAAGGGCGCGUAGGCGGCCAACUAAGUCAGACGUGAAAUCCCUCGGCUUAACCGGGGAACUGCGUCUGAUACUGGAUGGCUUGAGUGUAGGAGAGGGAUGCGGAAUUCCAGGUGUAGCGGUGAAAUGCGUAGAUAUCUGGAGGAACACCGGUGGCGAAGGCGGCAUCCUGGACUACUACUGACGCUGAGUGAGCGAAAGCCAGGGGAGCAAACGGG
rnacentral:rRNA from 1 species